UACGGGGGGAGCAAACGUUGUUCGGAAUCACUGGGCGUAAAGGGAGCGUAGGCGGCUAGGUAAGUGGGGUGUUAAAUCUCCCGGCUCAACCGGGAACCUGCACCUCAUACUGCUUAGCUUGAGUACAGCAGAGGAGACUGGAAUUCCCGGUGUAGCGGUGAAAUGCGUAGAUAUCCGGAGGAACACCAGUGGCGAAAGCGGCUCUCUGGGGGCAACCUGACGCUGAGGCGCGAAAGCGUGGGGAGCGAACCGG
rnacentral:rRNA from 1 species